rnacentral:rRNA from 1 species
GACGAACGCUGGCGGCGUGCUUAACACAUGCAAGUCGAACGGAAAGGCCCUGCAUUUGUGGGGUGCUCGAGUGGCGAACGGGUGAGUAACACGUGAGUAACCUGUCCUUGACUUUGGGAUAACUUCAGGAAACUGGGGCUAAUACCGGAUAGGAGCUCCUGCUGCAUGGUGGGGGUUGGAAAGAUUCGGCGGUUGGGGAUGGACUCGCGGCUUAUCAGCUUGUUGGUGGGGUAGUGGCUUACCAAGGCUUUGACGGGUAGCCGGCCUGAGAGGGUGACCGGCCCCAUUGGGCCUGAGGUACGGCCCAGACUCCUACGGGGGGCAGCAGUGGGGAUUAUUGCGCGAUGGGCGGAAGCCUGAUGCAGCCACUCCGCGUGCGGGAUGACGGCCUUCGGGUUGUAAACCUCUUUCGCCUGUGACGAAGCGUGAGUGACGGUAAUGGGUAAAGAAGCACCGGCUAACUACGUG